UACACACCGCCCGUCACACCAUGGGAGUGGGUUGCACCAGAAGUUGGUAGCCUAACCGUAAGGAGGGCGCUGACCACGGUGUGGUUCAUGACUGGGGUG
rnacentral:rRNA from 1 species